rnacentral:lncRNA from 1 species
CUAGGCGCUGGUGUUCUGGUGGCCCCAGCUAAGAAUUUGGAAGGGUGAAAAGAAAGUUAUUUUUUCUCCCUUACACUGGUAAAAUGAUAGCUGCAAGGAUGUCUGUCACGGGACAAUAAAGUGAAAAAUUUACCAUUCACUAUCUCCAAACUAUUUAGAGGUAUAGGGAGGGCAUUGCUCACAUGAGGAUUGAACACCAGCUUCAGGGUCCCAGUUUGUUAAGGAAAUCGAAGGGUGUGAUCAACAGCUCGUGCACUGCCGUGCUGCGAACCCAGAGUUCAGGCACUGACGUGGCGCUUCUGAUGGGUAGGUACGUGAUGUAACCCUCACUUGUGCUUUGAUUCUGUUACCCGCUUCCACACAAUGGGCUCCCCGCUCAAGGCAGGUGCCUCACUGAAUUUCCCGUGUUAGUGUCUGGUUGGCACUGUGUCUGUCCAUCUAUAUUCAGUUGCUGUAAUUGUUUACUGUGACGAUCAGGAGAGUUCUUGCCCAUGCGAUUGCGUUAUCAGCCUACUUGGUGAGCUCCGAUACCCCUGAGCUCAGUUUAGCUCAAAGCCCAGAAAAGCCUUUGUUUUAACUAGAGCCGAUUCUGCACAUCUGAGAGGUGUGGCACAUAACUCCCGGGCAUGUUUGGGGUUUUAAUCCAGUUUAUACUGGUGCCGUGGAGGGUACGGUCUUAAUGCUCAAGACUGAGCCAAGGCAGGGCUCUUUCAUUAACCUGAGACCUUUAAAAACUACCAAAGUAGCCUGGUACUUUGAUAUCCCUAGAGGUAGGACAGAAUUUCAGGUGAUCCUCUUUGUCCCCCUGGAUUGCUGUGGAAAGGACCUUCUGUCAUCCUGCAUUGGAAUCUCUGAAGGAAGAUGCGAAACUUCCCUUGCGAAAGGUACUUUGCUCUUAGAGCACCUCCUACUUAAGCUGUUUUAUUUAUACCUAAUUGAAGUCUCUGUGGGGAAGGAUCAAGCGUAAACUCAGUGGUCAUUGCUUUACAAGAGGACUAGAGCCGUUAAAUGCCAGAAUGCCCAUUCUCUGUUAUUCUUCUGCUCUACAGCACAGGGUGGGCUCUGAGCCAAACUGAAAGACAAAUAGCUUACUAUUGUUUACGAUGUGUGUGUGAGAGAGAGAUUUUAAUAGGAAUCCUUACAUAGGUGAUUUAUAAACGUAUACAAGGUUGACGAGGGGGUCACGAGGGGCUGUUUUCCCGUAGUUGUACUGGCUGAUCACCUCUUAGGGACCGUAUCAUUGGCACACUCUCCUGGUGAUGUGGGCGAGGGGGUCAGGGUUCAGCAGACACUGGCUUCGUGUGCUGUGUGCCAGGUUCUUAGGAUGACUGUGUCCUGUGAAGCAGCAGUUGGGGCAGGGAGAGAUGAGGAGACCAGUGAGAGCCAUUUAUGACCUCAUCAACCUGCCACCUCUGAUUUUGAACAAAUCCUUUUACUUCUUCAGGUUUCAAUAUCUCUGACUGAACUAACUUAUGGGUCAAAGGAAUGAGAAGUUCCUACAUUUGUAUGGCCAAGGAGCUUGUCGAGAAACUGUUGCAUAGUGUGGAAAUUAAAAAAAAAAAAAAAAAAACACACAUGGGCACCUAUAUACAGAAAUUAGCAGGUACUUCAGGAAAUUGGAGGAAACCUGAGGACCUCUCUCUUAAGAGUACCUGGACUUAGGGAGCUCAGUGUCUCAUUGAGUUUCACAUAUGUGUGAUUCUAGUGCCUUCCAUCAUUCAGAUCCUCUCAGGCCCUUGCCUGAUAUUCUCCAGUGAUUUCCCAUUGCACUUGAUUAUGAAAAUAAUUAGCAAGCAUUGACAGCAGUGAGCAAGAUAAGGCUAUUCUUUGCCUUCAUCACGUAAUAUGAUUUCUCUUUUGUUACUUUGCCCUAAACACACAGGUUUUUUUCCCUUUAAGUUCUUUUUUUGGGGGGCGGGGGUGCACGUGCGCAGCACAUGAAUGUUGCCAGGCUAGGGGUCCAAUCAGAGCUAUAGCUGCCACCUACGCCACAGCCACAGAAAUGCCAGAUCCCAGCUGCAUCUGUGACCUACACCACGGCUCACGGCAACACCAGAUCCUUAACCCACUGAGCGAGGCCAGGGAUCGAAUCUGCAACCUCACAGUUCCUAGUUGGAUUUUUUUUCGCUGCUCCACGACGGGAACUCUGUUUUGAGCUUUUCCAGAAGAUAAAAUGCCCUGUUUCAAGGGUACAGUUUGCUAAGUAUUGACAUAAAUUUCACUUGAGUGAUGAUUACCACACUCAAAUAAUAAACACAUUCAUCACACCCAUAAAUUUUUGGUUCAGAACUAUAUAUGCUCCAAAGACAUUUUUUAGUCAUUUAUUUCACGUUUAAAUAGGGAUAAUUUAAUUUUUUUUUUUUAGGGCCACACCCACAACACAUGGAGGUUCUCAGGCUAGGGAUCAAAUUGGAGCUUCAGCUGCCGGUCUACCCGGCACCCACAGCAACUUGGGAUCCAAGCUGCGUCUGUGAUGUACACCACAGUUCACAGCAAUGCUGGAUCCUUAACCCACUAAGUGAGGCUAGGGAUUGAACCCACAACCUCCUGGUUCCUAGUCGGAUUCCUUUCUGCUGUACUACGAUGGGAACUGCAGGACAAUUCUUAAUAAUAAAGACAGUUAUUAUAUAUGUUGGGGGAGAAACUUGUUUCUGGUACAUUUGAAUGUGCCUGAGAAAUUUCUUAUGUUUUCGAUAUGUUCCACCCCAGAUAGAAUGUUACUUAAGUACAACCUUUCAUAGCAAUCUCAUAUUUUCAAGUGUUACUAUAUAAUCCUCAUCAGUGAUUUUGUUUAAUGACUAAUCAUUGUAAUUAUGGAGUCUCUGGCACAUUUCUACCCAUACUAAAUCAUGAAAGAAAUUGCAUAGAAUUCUCUAAUCAUAAAAGUUGAAAAAUAUUGGAGUCAUUUUAAAAUGGUAAGAAUGGGUUUAAAAUAUAUUCGUGGACACUUGGCUAUGGUCCUCAACAAGCCUACUGUUGAAUUCACUAAGUUAGUUGAAUUCAGUUAGGAAGAGUAUGUGUGGUAGCUUCUGAAUUAUGUGUGGAAUAGGCCAGUUUCUCUUUAGUGGCAGUGACAUAAAUGGUAAUUACAAAACAGUUUCAUGUAUUGUAGGAAAGUUUUCCUUAAUCUUCUAAUCCUUCCUGUCUAGGUCCAAAAGUGAAACUGUCUGACAACCACAGAUUAACAGAAGGACGACAUACAAAUUUAUUUGAUGUUUUAUGUGACAUGGGAUCCUUUACAUGGAAAUGAAGACCUGAUGAAACAGACUUGGGUAUUUUAUGCUAGGUUUGAUAAAGAGUGGACAAUCACGGAAGACUAUGAUAGGUUAAGAAGUAUUAGGUAAUUGUAGUAAAUGGGGAUCAUCUUAACAAAAUCUAUUUUUUUUCAGAUUAUUGACAUCCUUUCUAAUUCAGAGAUAAAGUUGCUCCUUUCCUCCCAGUAUAGGGAGAGUGCCUGUCACAUGAGGGUUUUAUUACCUGUUUCAGGGGAGAAAGACAAGUGAGGGAGAAGGUCAAAGACACCAGUCUGUUUCUGCCUUUUCUCAAACUCCCUUCAGCUUAAAAUACUAAAUGUCAGUGUGCCAAAUGGUAAAUGUCCUGAACACCAUCAGUGUACUUUACUACAAUAAAAUAAGUGACAAAUCUGCAUUUUAGAAUUAUUGGAUGCUGGCAGUUGCCUAAAUGGGUGAGAUUUAGUCUGAUAAUUUCUAAUAAUUUUUGCUUAAUUGUAAUACAUUCUUGUGUGCACUAGUCAGAAGCUGAAAUAACAGCAUUUGGCAUGCAAAAAUAAGGAUCAUUAAAACUAUUUUAAAAG